GACGAACGCUGGCGGCGUGCUUAACACAUGCAAGUCGAACGGAGUGGCGAACGGGUGAGUAACACGUGGGUGACCUGCCCUGCACUUCGGGAUAAGCCUGGGGAACUGGGUCUAAUACCGGAUAGUGUGGGAUGGGCCCGCGGCCUAUCAGCUUGUUGGUGGGGUAAUGGCCUACCAAGGCGGCGCCGGGUAGCCGGCCUGAGAGGGUGGACGGCCACAUAGGGACUGGGACACGGCCCAGAGUCAUACGGGAGGAAGCGGUGGGGGAUUGUGCACAAUGGGCGGAGGCCGGAUGCAGGGUCGCCGCGUGGGGAAUGACGGCCUUCGGGGUGGAAACUCCUUUCACCAUCGACGCGGUAGAUGGAGAAGAAGCACCGGCUAACUACGUGCCAGCAGCCGCGGUAAUAC
rnacentral:rRNA from 1 species